rnacentral:pre_miRNA from 1 species
CAUAUACUCCCCCCGUCCCAAAAAUUUUGUCUUAGAUUUGUCUAGAUAUGAAUGUAUCUAGUCAUGUUUUAGUAUUUUGAUACAUCCAUUUCUAGACAAAUCUAAGACAAAAAUUUUGGGACGAAGAGAGUAUGUA